UGGGGAAUUUUGGACAAUGGGCGAAAGCCUGAUCCAGCAAUGCCGCGUGUGUGAAGAAGGCCUUCGGGUUGUAAAGCACUUUUGUCCGGAAAGAAAUCCUUGGCUCUAAUACAGUCGGGGGAUGACGGUACCGGAAGAAUAAGCACCGGCUAACUACGUGCCAGCAGCCGCGGUAAUACGUAGGGUGCAAGCGUUAAUCGGAAUUACUGGGCGUAAAGCGUGCGCAGGCGGUUUGCUAAGACCGAUGUGAAAUCCCCGGGCUCAACCUGGGAACUGCAUUGGUGACUGGCAGGCUAGAGUAUGGCAGAGGGGGGUAGAAUUCCACGUGUAGCAGUGAAAUGCGUAGAGAUGUGGAGGAAUACCGAUGGCGAAGGCAGCCCCCUGGGCCAAUACUGACGCUCAUGCACGAAAAGCGUGGGGAGCAAACAGGAUUAGAUACCCCUGGUAGUCCACGCCCUAAACGAUGUCAACUAGUUGUUGGGGAUUCAUUUCCUUAGUAACGUAGCUAACGCGUGAAGUUGACCGCCUGGGGAGUACGGUCGCAAGAUUAAAACUCAAAGGAAUUGACGGGGUCAUAGCUGUUUCCU
rnacentral:rRNA from 1 species